rnacentral:rRNA from 1 species
UGGUGCCAGCAGCCGCGGUAAUUCCAGCUCCAAUAGCGUUUACUAAAUUGUUGCGGUUUAAAGCUCGUAGUUGCAUUUGUGCGCCGCGCUGUCGGUGCACCGCAUCCGCGGUGAUACUGACACGUUUGCGGAGCUAAUCGUCGGUCAGCCGGCGGUAUAACGCCGGUUCAAUAUCUUAAUCCUAUCGCGGUGCUCUUCAGUGAGUGUCGAGAAGGGCCGACAAUUUUACUUUGAACAAAUUAGAGUGCUCAAAGCGAGCUCAAAAUGCUGCUUGUAUAUUUCCUGCAUGGAAUAAUAGAAUAAGAUCUCGGUUCUAUUUUGUUGGUUUUCAGAACUCCGAGGUAAUGAUUAAUAGGGAUAACUGGGGGCAUUCGUAUUGCGACAUUAGAGGA